GCCAAACAGCUAGCCUCACAGAGAAAAGCCAACAAAUAACCAUUAAUAACCCCUAAUGUAAUAAAACGGAUCAAGCAAAACCAUUUUUCCCCUUUAGUAUAGGCGAUAGAAAAAGA
rnacentral:rRNA from 1 species